AACGCACAUUGCGCCCAUUAGUAUUCUAUUGGGCAUGCCUGUUCGAGCGUCAUUUCAACCCUCAAGCCUAGCUUAGUGUUGGGAAUCUACUGCAUAGUAGUUCCUCAAAUGCAAUGGCGGAGUUAUAGUCAUAUUUCUGAGCGCAGUAAUUAUUAUCACGCUUUUGUAGAUGCUGUAAGUCUUGCCGUUAAACCCUAAUUUUUAAUGGUUGACCUCGGAUCAGGUAGGAAUACCCGCUGAACUUAA
rnacentral:misc_RNA from 1 species